ACAACGACCCAGGCCUUACGAGGCGCAGCAGGCGCGGAACCUCCGCAAUACACGAAAGUGUGACGGGGUUACCCAAAGUGUUCAAUAGAACUGUGGUAGGUGAGUAAUGUCCCCUACUAGAAAGGAGAGGGCAAGGCUGGUGCCAGCCGCCGCGGUAAAACCAGCUCUUCAAGUGGUCGGGAUAAUUAUUGGGCUUAAAGUGUCCGUAGCCGGUUUAGUAAGUUCCUGGUAAAAUCGGGUAGCUUAACUAUCUGCAUGCUAGGAAUACUGCUAUACUAGAGGGCGGGAGAGGUCUGAGGUACUACAGGGGUAGGGGUGAAAUCUUAUAAUCCUUGUAGGACCACCAGUGGCGAAGGCGUCAGACUGGAACGCGCCUGACGGUGAGGGACGAAAGCCAGGGGAGCGAACCGGAUUAGAUACCCGGGUAGUCCUGGCCGUAAACGAUGCAUACUAGGUGAUGGUACGGCCAUGAGCCGUAUCAGUGCCGUAAGGAAACCGUUAAGUGUGCCGCCUGGGAAGUACGGUCGCAAGGCUAAAACUUAAAGGAAUUGGCGGGGGAGCACCACAAGGGGUGAAGCCUGCGGUUCAAUUGGAUUCAACGCCGGGAAGGG
rnacentral:rRNA from 1 species